UGAGCGUCAGUCUUUGUCCAGGGGGCCGCCUUCGCCACCGGUAUUCCUCCAGAUCUCUACGCAUUUCACCGCUACACCUGGAAUUCUACCCCCCUCUACAAGACUCUAGCCUGCCAGUUUCGAAUGCAGUUCCCAGGUUGAGCCCGGGGAUUUCACAUCCGACUUGACAGACCGCCUGCGUGCGCUUUACGCCCAGUAAUUCCGAUUAACGCUUGCACCCUCCGUAUUACCGCGGCUGCUGGCACGGAGUUAGCCGGUGCUUCUUCUGCGGGUAACGUCAAUUGCUGAGGUUAUUAACCUCAACACCUUCCUCCCCGCUGAAAGUACUUUACAACCCGAAGGCCUUCUUCAUACACGCGGCAUGGCUGCAUCAGGCUUGCGCCCAUUGUGCAAUAUUCCCCACUGCUGCCUCCCGUAGGAGUCUGGACCGUGUCUCAGUUCCAGUGUGGCUGGUCAUCCUCUCAGAUCAGCUAGGGAUCGUCGCCUAGGUGAGCCGUUACCCCACCUACUAGCUAAUCCCAUCUGGGCACAUCUGAUGGCAAGAGGCCCGAAGGUCCCCCUCUUUGGUCUUGCGACGUUAUGCGGUAUUAGCUACCGUUUCCAGUAGUUAUCCCCCUCCAUCAGGCAGUUUCCCAGACAUUACUCACCCGUCCGCCGCUCGCCGGCAAAGUAGCAAGC
rnacentral:rRNA from 1 species